GGCGUAUCUCCCCUCUUGGAAAUGGCAGCAUCUGUUUACAAUGUUGUUUACCUUCUCUUUGUCAUGACCUUGGAUUAUUUCACCCAAAAUGCAAAAGCUUUUGAACUACCACAGGCCCAGAUCAGAGUGAACACUGAUGUCAUCGGAGACAGAGACUCAGUGCUGCUGAGCUGUGAGGCUCCCCAGUCUGUCUCUGGGCAUCAGUGUUAUUUCUACACAGAGGAAAAACCAGAGAUCACCAAACACGCAGCCUGUGAUCACUACUUUACUGGCGCUGAACUGCUCCAGUGGAAAAGCCUUCCUUC